rnacentral:rRNA from 1 species
GAUGAACGCUGGCGGCGUGCCUAAUACAUGCAAGUCGAGCGAACGGACGAGAAGCUUGCUUCUCUGAUGUUAGCGGCGGACGGGUGAGUAACACGUGGAUAACCUACCUCUAUGACUGGGAUAACUUCGGGAAACCGGAGCUAAUACCGGAUAAUAUUUUGAACCGCAUGGUUCAAAAGUGAAAGACGCUCUUGCUGUCUCUUAUAGAUGGAUCCGCGCUGCAUUAGCUAGUUGGUAAGGUAACGGCUUACCAAGGCAACGAUGCAUAGCCGACCUGAGAGGGUGAUCGGCCACACUGGAACUGAGACACGGUCCAGACUCCUACGGGAGGCAGCAGUAGGGAAUCUUCCGCAAUGGGCGAAAGCCUGACGGAGCAACGCCGCGUGAGUGAUGAAGGUCUUCGGAUCGUAAAACUCUGUUAUUAGGGAAGAACAUAUGUGUAAGUAACUGUGCACAUCUUGACGGUACCUAAUCAGAAAGCAACGGCUAACUACGUG